rnacentral:rRNA from 1 species
GGAGUUUGGACCGUGUCUCAGUUCCAAUGUGGGGGACCUUCCUCUCAGAACCCCUACUGAUCGUCGGCUUGGUGGGCCGUUGCCCCGCCAACUACCUAAUGUCACGCAUGCCCAUCCACUACCACCGUAGCUUUAGUCACCAAACCAUGCGAUUCGGUGACACCAUGGGAUAUUAGUGGAAGUUUCCCUCCGUUAUCCCCCUGUAGUGGGUAGGUUGCAUACGCGUUACGCACCCGUGCGCCGGUCGCCAGCACGGUAUUGCUACCGCCUGCUGCCCCUCGACUUGCAUGUGUUAAGCCUGCCGCUAGCGUUCAUC